rnacentral:rRNA from 1 species
CAGCCGCCGCGGGAAUACAGAGGGUGCAAGCGUUAAUCGGAAUUACUGGGCGUAAAGCGCGCGUAGGUGGUUUGUUAAGUCGGAUGUGAAAUCCCCGGGCUCAACCUGGGAACUGCAUCCGAAACUGGCAAGCUAGAGUAUGGUAGAGGGUAGUGGAAUUUCCUGUGUAGCGGUGAAAUGCGUAGAUAUAGGAAGGAACACCAGUGGCGAAGGCGACUACCUGGACUGAUACUGACACUGAGGUGCGAAAGCGUGGGGAGCAAACAGGAUUAGAUACCCCCGUAGUCCCUGUCUCUUAUAC